AGCAGGCUUCUUCUACUCAGUGCACCUGAACCUCGUGGGUUGGGUGCUCCGGUAACCUCCAGAUCGUGUGAUCUGCAUCCUCAGAAGUAUGUCCUCUCUAUUCUUCUGCUCUGGCUUCUUUCUCUCAUACACACCUGUGUCCUCCAGGAGGGGGAGAUGAGGGGCGUGGCUUAUCUCUCUCAUGCAGUUCUGAAAGAACAGAGAAAAAAAAAAAGCCCUGACGUGUUGUCCACAGCCUAAUCCUAACAUGGCCGAAGUUGUGGACAACAGUAAGAGAUCCAACACAGAACUACAGAACUUCCUGGCCCACAAACAGAUCCUAUCAAGCUCUGUCAACUUGGAUGAAAAUCAUCUGUGAAAAACAUUUUCCGGUCUUUUCAGAGAUAUCUGACUGGGUUUAAGCCAGGGCUCUGGAUGGGCCACCUAAGGACACUCAUAAAGUUCUACCUAAAUCACUCCUGCAUUGUCUUGGCUGUGUGCAUAAGGUCAUUGUUGGAAGGAAACCCUUCAGCCAAAACCACUUAAGCCCUUCACCCCACCAUUGGAAACUGCAGCCAUGGUAGGAAACAAGUGGAUUUGGCUCACCACCUUGAAUCGUAGCCAUGUAUAAAGACUUUUUUUUUUUUAUAGAAGAUGGGAUCCAAGGGGCUACAACCUACUCCAGAAAGGAAGACAAGACGAGUGACAUCACAUUGGGCUAGAGUAAAAUGGAUCAGCUCCAGCCUUGUUUUAUUUUUAUUUUUUUUCCAGCCACAGGCCUACCUGUUGAUUUGUAAAAAAAUAAAUAAAAAUUGAGCCAUCUUUGUGGAUAAAUCUGAUGUUUCUUGUAAAAUAAGUGUAAUACAGAUUUCUCAAUCCAUCUGAGGACAAAAACUCUGAUAUGUCAUGAAUGUUUACUGUCAUACAGCCCCUUAAAAAUAUAUGGGGCUUAUCUGGUGUUUGAAAAUCUAUUUUAGAUUUACCAUGAUAUUGAUCACUGGCAUGUUAGGAUAAUGUAUCCCAACUUCAGGCCUGCAAUACAAUACCACAAUGGUUUACACAAAUCUAAGUUUCCUACUUAUACCUCAAUCAACGGCCUUAUCUUCAUGCCUGAUGUAUUAAGAUACCCUGACACAAUAUUGUAUUGCUGUUUUGGGUUAACACACACUGUAUUCCGAGGUAAACAUUUGGGCAAAACUUUCAAAGUAAUCCUAAAAUUGUCAGAUGCUUUUCAGAAAUCAAAAAGCCUUUUACAGCAAAGCAGUAAGGGGUUAAUUCUGCAGAAAUUUGCCUUGCUUACUCUCCCAGUGUGUGCUUCCCAUCGUCAGGCUAAUUGUUGAAUGGACAAUAAAAUUAGCUAAUUAAUUCAUUUUAACUGCCUGUAUAUUUUUAUUGCACGGAUCAGUGUGUAAUUAUGAUAAUAUGCAGUUAGUGCUCUGUGUGUUUUUCCACAGCAGAAAGAAAAUGGUCUUCCUUGUAGCAGAGGAUACACGGCUGAAUAGAUUGAGAAUGGCUUCCUUCCCCUGUCUCCUGAUUUCUUCAGCAAGAUUGAUGUCCUAGUUUUUUUCAUUCUAUUUUUGUAUGGGAUUCGGCUAACAUAUUGAA